CAAGGCAAGAAUCUUCGAAACCUCUCUCGGUGCUGGAAAAGGAGUUUGGGUGGUGGAUUCACUCAUUCUGGCAAGAAAAUCCGAGAACGGACAACGAGAGAGAAAGAGACCGCUAUGCGUCGACCGACGAACGGAAGAGCGCGGCGGAGCCGGCGUGCGUCACGUGGUAGCGUUCCACUGGUGCGCUGAGUCGGGUUGACCCGUACACCCGCCGAACCGGUCCGAAAACCCGCGGUCCAACCCGACGUUUCCUGCCAAACACUGUGCGCCACGUGUCGCGCUCAUAAAAUUUGAAGGUAAGUCUGCGGCCGCUAGGUUCGAAAUGCGGCACUGCCCACGCGUGUGCCUAGCGCAUGUGGGCGUGUGCCAGCGCGUGUGAGGACCUGCUGGUGCGUGGGACCCCAUUCUCUCACCCGUUUGGCCUUCGUUUGCUUGUUUUUCGCCCCAAUUUCAACUCUGAUCCUAUUUUUAUGUGAAUUAGGACCUAUCAAGGAAAUUACAGAAUUUUUGGAACCUUUUCCGGCAAAUAAUUCGAGCUUGGGAAGGCACGCGUCAACCAAAUAAGUAACCAUUUGGAUUCCCACGAGCAGUACUUGUAGGAACCGCUUGGAAUAAGCAUGCAUGCUAUCAUACUCAUAAACCUAGCUGACCGAACCUAGCAUAUUAGUAUAGAAACCAUGAAAAUGAAAUAAAUAAGGAAAUCUAUGGCUUCUAGUUAUGAAUGAUGAUGUAAUCUGUUUACAUUGAGAUUCUGAUAAUGUAGGUAUGCAUGAGGAGGAUGGGAAACUUGUGAAAUCUGCGCUCCGGGUGAAGAUGGAUGUUAUCUUCCCGUUGAGCAUGUUUGUUAAUAUUGCAUGAACUGCUGCAUGUUAACUCCUAUGCAUGAUGAUUGCUUGUGUUAUCUUUAUUGUUGAAUAUGAAGAAAUUAUGAGCUUAGAUUAGGGUGCUUGUGACUAAGUAGGCUAGACGAGACCCUAGAUUGGGGAACCUCUAGAAUACCAUGCAUUUAGACCC